CUUAUCAAGAGUGACGGAGGGAACAGGCCCGAUGAUGUCCGACAACCUGUGGCGGCGACGCCAUAAGGUGCCAAAUCCUGCGGUGACAAACCGAAAGAUGAGG
rnacentral:ncRNA from 1 species